GACAGUAUAAAUACCGUCAUCUCAGAAAGACUUUAUUAUAAUCUUAAAAGUAACAAGAACAUAAUACUUGUCAUCAGAAUUACUGUUAAGGUAAUAUUCACGGGAAAGUUGAUAAGGGUAACGAGUUAAAGAGAUCGUCAAUUAUUACUACAAGAUGGAGUUGAUGAAAGCCGUUCAGUUAUUUGCCAUAAUUUGCACCGUCCUAAUUCAUGUGUGUUUGUGCAAAAGUCACAGUGACGAGUGUAUCUGCAAAAUAAAUAAAGAUUCGACGGCAUGUGAAAUUGUUCCAACUGGCUCUAGAGCCACUAUCAGAUGUUGUUGUGCAGCAAAAUUUAGGAGAAGGGGUAACGGCUAUAGGGUCAAUGGAUGUUUCCAGGCACAUAACUGUCAAUGGUUGACUAGAGUAUAAUACACAUCACCGAUUGCAACAGAUGAUUUGCUCAAUGGCUUUUAUUAAUUUGUAUUUUUGUUGUGUUCUUAUGAGUUGUAAUAUACUCUCUCUGACACUCCCUGGAUAAAAACAGAUUUAUUUUUAUUUUUGGGAUUAUAAGUCAAUGUGAUAUGUAUGAAAAGUAUUGGCUGUAGAUGCUUUAAUCCAUUUAUUUUGGUAUUGUUUGUUACAGCAUUCUUAAGUCAAAUUGUUUUAUUUCUUUAUUUUAUACGUUUAUGUUUUUACAAAACAGUAUAUUUAUUGCAUAUAAUAAAAUAUUUUAUGUUA